rnacentral:rRNA from 1 species
UGGGGAAGUCUUGCGCAAUGGGCGAAAGCCUGACGCAGCGACGCCGCGUGCGGGAAGAAGGCCUUCGGGUUGUAAACCGCUUUCAGGAGGGAAGCGGUACCUCCAGAAGAAGCCCCGGCAACUACGUGCCAGCAGCCGCGGUAAUACGUAGGGGGCAAGCGUUGUCCGGAAUUAUUGGGCGUAAAGAGCUCGUAGGCGGUCCUUAAGUCGGAAGUGAAAUCUCAAGGCUCAACUUGAAAACCGCUUUCGAUACUGGAGGACUUGAGGCAGGUAGGGGAGAGUGGAAUUCCCGGUGUAGCGUGAAAAUGCGCAGAUAUCAGGAGGAACACCAGUGGCGAAGGCGGCUCUCUGGGCCUGUCUGACGCUAAGAGCCGAAAGCGUGGGGAGCAACAGGAUUAGAUACCCCUGUAGU